rnacentral:rRNA from 1 species
GAUGAACGCUGGCGGCGUGCCUAAUACAUGCAAGUCGAGCGAACGGACGAGAAGCUUGCUUCUCUGAUGUUAGCGGCGGACGGGUGAGUCACACGUGGAUAACCUACCUAUACGACUGGGAUAACUUCGGGAAACCGGAGCUAAUACCGGAUAAUAUUUUGAACCGGAUGGUUCAAAAGUGAAAGAGGGUUUUGAUGUCACUUCUAGAUGGAACCGCGCUGCAUUAGUUAGUUGGUACGGUAACGGCUUAGCAAGGCAACGAUGCCUAGCCGACCUGCGAGGGUGAUCGGCCACACUGGAACUGGGCCGCGGUCCAGACUCCGACGGGAGGCAGCAGUAGGGACUCUUCCGCACUGGGCGAAAGCCUGACGGAGCAGCGCCGCGUGAGUGAUGCGGGUCUUCGGAUCGUAAAACUCUGUUAGUAGGGAAGAACAUAUGUGUAAGUAACUGUGCACAUCUUGACGGUACCUAGUCAGAAAGCCACGGCUAACUACGUG